AAGAGUGGAACGUAAACUCACGUACUUAGGUUUUGGGAAGCCAUCUUAGAAUCCCAGUAUUAUCUUCUUCCCUUCUCUUCUGUCGCAGCAGAAAACCACAACAUCACAUAUCUCAAUUUCUCUUUAUUGAGAGAGAAUGGCAUCGUCGUCUUCGGCAGCAAACAUAUGGGUAUUACUAGGGUUAGGGCUCGCAGGCAUAUUUCUGAUGACGAGGAGGCUGAAGAAGACAAUCAGAGAAGAUUUUGGGGCUUUUGUUCAGAGGCUGCAGCUUCUCCCUCCGCCUCAGCCAGCUCCACCUAAAGCCCCUCAUCCUCUUACCUCCUUCUCUUUCGCCGUCUCCGACAUAUUUGAUAUUGAUGGAUAUGUUACUGGGUUCGGCAAUCCAGACUGGGCUACAACACAUGAGGCUGCAUCAUGGACAUCGUCAGCGGUUUCAACUAUCGUAGAAGGGGGUGCCACUUGCAUUGGAAAAACCGUCAUAGAUGAAAUGGCAUAUAGCAUUAAUGGAGAAAACAAACAUUAUGGCACACCUACCAAUCCUGCAGCUCACGCACGUUUCCCAGGAGGAUGUUCUAGUGGAUCUGCUGUGGCGGUUGCUGCUGAACUAGUAGACUUCUCUUUGGGUGUUGAUAGUGUUGGUGGUGUAAGAGUACCUGGGGCCUUUUGUGGUAUAUUAGGAUUCCGACCUUCACAUGGGGCUGUUUCAAACAUCGGGGCUAUUCCCGUCUCACCGAGUCUUGACACUGUCGGAUGGUUUGCCAAGGAUCCUAGUAUCUUGCGUCGUGUGGGUCAUGUGCUCCUACGGCUUCCAUAUGCAGAUUCACGCCUGCCUAGGCAUAUAAUAAUAGCUGAUGACUGUUUUCAACUGCUAAAGAUUCCUACGAGCAGGGUUGCUCAGGUGGUGACCAAAUCCACCGAGAAGCUUUUUGGAAGACAAGUUUUAAACCAUGCAAAUCUUGGGGACUAUUUGGCUUCUAAAGUUCCAAGCUUAAAACAUUUCCAUAGCAAGAACAGAAAUGGUGAACUGAAAGUAUCUUCAUUGCGGUCUCUUGCAAACGCUAUGCAGUUCCUUCAAAGGCAUGAGUUCAAAAAUUGUCAUGAGGAAUGGAUCAACACGGCCAAACCAGUUCUGGAUCCUUUUAUAUCAUCAAAUAUGCAUGCAAUGCUAGACCGUAAGGAUGCAAAUAUUGACCACUGUGAAUCAGCGAGGAAUGAAACACGCUUGGCUCUCAGUGCCCUUCUGAAGGAUGAUGGAAUUCUUGUGAUUCCUACACUUGCUGAUCCUCCUCCAAAGCUUGGUGCAAAAGAAGUUUUAUCAGAUGACUACCAGACUCGUGCUUUUAGUCUGUUGGCUAUUGCUAGCAUGUCAGGAUGUUGUCAGGUUACCAUACCACUUGGAACUCACGACAAGUGUCCAGUGUCAGUUUCCUUCAUAGCAAGGCAUGGAGGUGAUCGCUUCUUACUCGACACGGUACAGACCGUGUAUGCAUCCCUUCAGGAACAAGCGGAUAUAGCCGCAAAAUCCAAUUUGUCAAAUAAUAUUAUCAGCCCAGAAGAAUCUGCUGAGAUUGCUAAAGAAAAGGGUAACAUUGCUUUCAAGGAGAAACAAUGGCAAAAGGCUAUUGGUUUCUACACGGAAGCAAUCAAACUUGAUGGAAAGAAAGCAACAUACUACAGUAAUAGGGCUGCUGCAUAUCUGGAGCUGGGGAGCUUUCUACAAGCGGAGGCAGAUUGCACCACAGCCAUCAACCUUGAGAAAAAGAAUGUAAAGGCCUAUUUACGAAGAGGAACCGCAAGGGAGAUGCUUGGCUACUACAAAGAGGCCAUUGAAGAUUUCAGAUAUGCACUUGUUCUAGAACCAACCAAUAAGACAGCCAACCUUGCUGCUAAUAGAUUAAAGAAGCUUUUUCAGUAGGAAGAUAUCACAUAGUUUUCGACUUCUCAGCCAAUGUUUCUGCCAUCUCUGCUGUAUUUGAGAGGUUGGGCCCACUAAUGCAGAAGUUGCUAUCGUGCCUCUCGAGCUCUUCAAGACUUCAACCGGUGAAAGCCUGGAAUCCAAUCCUUGAUACACUGGUUGAAAGAUCUAAUUUUGAACUGGGUCCACAAGAUGAGACCUAAUCCCAACCUGAUUUCUUAAUGGGCCCAAAAAUAUGGGCACCAUUUACACCUGUUGUGUGGUUGGUGGGAAAGUCUUUUCCUUAGUUUUCAUGUUUCUUGGAGAAUGUUAGUGUUUGGGCUUGUAUUUCUUGGGAAAUGACUAAAUUUUGUUGGGUUGAUAUGAGAAACUCGGAAAAGUCUAAAUUC